CACUAUCACAACAGUGUGUUCACUUCCAAGCACAUGUCUGAUGAUUACAUGUGGAAUUCAAUGACUGAGUUUUCUGGGG
rnacentral:snoRNA from 1 species